CGGGCACAAAAUGAAAAAUUUCUUCAUUUCAUUGCUGACCCGCCACAACCAAAAUAAUUCCCUCCUCCUUAUCCAACGAACAGUUCGACCUCCGAGCUCCCAAUUUUCCUCCUCACCACCAUGACAGUUCCGCCGUAUCAGAUGAUGUUAAGAAUAAUGAGAGGACGAAUUACUUCAAUUGCCCUGCAUUGGAUGUCUCAGUUGCUUUUCCGCAAGCAACGCCGGCUUCUACUUUUCCUCCCUGCACUUCGGAUUAUUACCAGAUUGAUGAUCUAUUGACACCUGAGGAGCAGGCUAUUGGCUCCAAUUAUGGCAGAG